rnacentral:rRNA from 1 species
AAAUCGAUCGUCAAAUUUGGGCCUAGGGGCGAAAGGACUAAUCGAACCGUUCUGGGUAGCUUGGUUUCCUUGGCCCGAAGUUUUCCCUUCAGGGAAUAAGCAGUUAACCGUUCUUUCAGUUUUAUGAAGGGUAAAAGCCGAAUUGAUUAGAGGCCUUGGGGUUGCAACAACCUUUAACCUAAUUCUCAAACUUUAAAUAUGUAAGAAGUCCCUGGUUGCUCGGUUUGGAACCGGGGACACUUUGAAUGUAUCCGUUACUAGUGGGCCAUUUUUGGUAAGCAGAACUGGCGAUGCGGGAUGAACCGAACGCGAGGUUAAGGUGCCGGAAUGCACGCUCAUCAGACACCCACAANAGGUGUCAAUGCAUCCAGACAGCCGGACGGUGGCCAUGGAAGUCGGAAUCCGCUUAGGAGUGUGUAACAACUCACCGGCCGAAUGCAUUGGCCCUGAAANUGGAUGGCGCUUAAGCGUGCUACCUAUACCUCGCCGUCGGGGUUGAAAUGAGGCCCCGACGAGUAGGCAGGCGUGGGGAUCGGGACGAAGCCCUGGGGGGACCCCGG